rnacentral:rRNA from 1 species
AGCGAACGCUGGCGGCAGGCUUAACACAUGCAAGUCGAGCGGGCACUUUCGGGUGUCAGCGGCGGACGGGUGAGUAACGCGUGGGAACGUGCCCUCUGGUUCGGAAUAACUCAGGGAAACUUGAGCUAAUACCGGAUACGCCCUUUUGGGGAAAGGCUUGCUGCCGGAGGAUCGGCCCGCGUCUGAUUAGCUAGUUGGUGAGGUAACGGCUCACCAAGGCGACGAUCAGUAGCUGGUCUGAGAGGAUGAUCAGCCACACUGGGACUGAGACACGGCCCAGACUCCUACGGGAGGCAGCAGUGGGGAAUAUUGGACAAUGGGCGCAAGCCUAAUCCAGCCAUGCCGCGUGAGUGAUGAAGGCCUUAGGGUUGUAAAGCUCUUUUAUCCGGGACGAUAAUGACGGUACCGGAGGAAUAAGCCCCGGCUAACUUCGUG